AUACGGAGGGUGCAAGCGUUAAUCGGAAUUACUGGGCGUAAAGCGCACGCAGGCGGUCUGUCAAGUCGGAUGUGAAAUCCCCGGGCUUAACCUGGGAACUGCAUUCGAAACUGGCAGGCUAGAGUCUUGUAGAGGGGGGUAGAAUUCCAGGUGUAGCGGUGAAAUGCGUAGAGAUCUGGAGGAAUACCGGUGGCGAAGGCGGCCCCCUGGACAAAGACUGACGCUCAGGUGCGAAAGCGUGGGGAGCAAACAGGAUUAGAUACCCUGGUAGUCCACGCCGUAAACGAUGUCGAUUUGGAGGUUGUGCCCUUGAGGCGUGGCUUCCGGAGCUAACGCGUUAAAUCGACCGCCUGGGGAGUACGGCCGCAAGGUUAAA
rnacentral:rRNA from 1 species